GCGGGAGGGGAAAACCUCCUCUCUGAAAGGGAUGAUGUCAGUCUCUGCAGCUGAGCCCCAGUUCCCCGACUCGUCAGGACGAAGACUCGCUCCUCCUGAAAGCCAGCGGCAGGCGCGAGGCUGCUCCAUGAAGAGGGGCGGCGGGCAAACUUAGAGAGGCGGGGUGCUGGGGGAGAUCCUGGCGACCGAAUCCCUGCAGCUGCUGACCCAAGGCCCUGAGGGGGAACUUUCACUUGAGGAGAAAAGCAGACGUCAAAGACUCAGGUAAAAUCCAGGUCUCCCGGUGAUGCCAGAAGAUGUGAGAAAACUCUACCCCUCGUGUUCUCUGUGUUUCUACAUGUGAGCCACGGUGUAAUAUGGCUUUUUAUUCCUAUGUGAUGGUGAAAAAUGUUCAUGUAGGAAUCGAAGCCACUUUACAUGUGGUGAGAGAGCAACGCGACACGAGCCAGAGUGUCCAGCCGCCCUCUCGAUGGUUGYAGAAAUGUACAUAAAUAUCUGUCUUCUGUUAAAUGCUUCCCUGUAGUAAAGGUACAUUUACGCUCAUCUUUCAGAUGAUGAGUGAACUCACUGAUGUGCUCAUCUGAGAAUACGGGAGGAGAGGGGGAAAAAAAAGAAGUCAGACUUUGUUGUGUGUGCACCUGUUUUUGCCUCAAGGCACAAGCAGCAUCCGUUGCUUCCACUGUUUGAUGCAUGUGGUGACAGAUGCAGUCCGCCGGGGAAGCGGGAACAUUUGCAAAACAUUCCAUAAAAAAAGGGYAAAAAUAAAGAGCAACCAGAGACCAGUACAGAUCUUUAAUAACCGACUGUAAAAGAGGCACUUAGUGAACCACUUUACAAAGUUACAAGGAAGCAUGGCAUUUCCCUUUUCUUUUCCAUCUCAUUCAUUUUGCACAUUAUUAAAAUAAACCUUUGUCACGAAGCAUUACACCAAACAACAAUCUACCUACAAUAUCAUACAAUGAAGGUACAUACAGUAUAAACAAGAUAAAGCACCUUUGUUGUCUUAGUAAAUACUAUUAAUAAUUAAACAUUUGGAGUUACAGACACAGAUAAAUGAGUUUGUCAUUUGUGUGUGGUAUUAUCAGUGCAUGGAAAGAACUCCAAGUACAGGUCUUCAGAUUUGUGUGCACCUGAGUUUAUACACUAGAAGCUGUCCUAAUUAUGAGAAUGACUUGGAUGGUUUUUAUACAGUAUACUCCAUAAAAUACAGAGGACCAGUAAAAAAAGGACCAGUUGGAUGUAUGAACUGUAACUGCUACAGAUCUCAUGCUCUCUUCUGAGGACGUUAGCAUUCACAUUACAAUAAACAUGUAGCACCAGGUGACAUUUAUACAACAGGUCUGUGAUAAUGAAUGUCAAUGCAGUACAGUAAAGCUAAAAAAAAUAAUAAAAAAAUACAAAAUUGUUAUGUAUGCUGGAAGCAUGUAUGAAAGGUGCACAAAACAUUUGUCCAAAUAAGGUGUGGCAUGUUUUAGUCAUUUAGCAGAAAGACUGAAAGAACUGUGUGUUAAAUGCAAAAUAGAGAUGCAUCUUUUUUUGAUGUUUUCUUUAAAGAACAUGUGUUUUCAAGUAUUCUUUUUUUAUUUUUAAUUCUUUCUCCUUUAGGUAAAUGAAGUGUAAUCUUUGCUUUCCCCAACCGGACAAACUCAUUUUUGCCGUUCGUCCUCACAUUUGUGUAAUAAAAACACAUUGUACAAAGAAGA